rnacentral:rRNA from 1 species
AUACGUAGGGGGCGAGCGUUGUCCGGAAUGAUUGGGCGUAAAGGGCGCGUAGGCGGCCCGGUAAGUCUGGAGUGAAAGUCCUGUUUUUAAGAUGGGAAUUGCUUUGGAUACUGUCGGGCUUGAGUGCAGGAGAGGUAAGUGGAAUUCCCAGUGUAGCGGUGAAAUGCGUAGAGAUUGGGAGGAACACCAGUGGCGAAGGCGACUUACUGGACUGUAACUGACGCUGAGGCGCGAAAGUGUGGAGAGCAAACAGUAUUAGAUACCCUGGUAGUCCACACUGUAAACGAUGAAUGCUAGGUGUAGGGGGUAUCGACCCCUUCUGUGCCGCAGUCAACACAAUAAGCAUUCAGCCUGGGGAGUACGGCCGCAAGGUUGAAGCUCAAAGGAAUUGACGGGG